AAAAUAUUGAAAUAUUCAAAGACCCUCCAUGCUUCAAAGCUUUGAAGAGGUCAACAGACCAUGUACACGACUGUGUCCUGUGUCUUUGCCAAUCUCAGAAUUAGAAGCCAAAGGAAGGAAGGUUCCAUCCAAUACGUUACUGCACUAACUCUUGGCCACAAAGACUGGGUCAUUUAAUAAUGCUGUUAUGGAGGCCGGAAGCAUUAGACAGGAUGGUGGAGCAGUGGUUGGCUAAGGUAUCCUCUACAUAAGUGUUCUGACCUGUUUUGAGUGCUGAAAGAGAUGUCAAGGGUCUGCAUUAAGCACUAAACCAAUGCCAUGCACUUUAUCUGCAAAUCAGAAGAUUCCAUGGAAACGAAAGAGGACUGGAUAAAGUCACAGCAAUAUUUCUGUGUUUAAGAGGUGGAGUAUGAAGGUAGAGCAGCUAAUGUAUCUCUGAAAUGAGUUUCUGGAUAUGUCUUGGUG